UACGUAGGGGGCAAGCGUUGUCCGGAAUCAUUGGGCGUAAAGAGCGUGUAGGCGGCUCGGUAAGUCCGCUGUGAAAGUCCAGGGCUCAACCCUGGAAUGCCAGUGGAAACUGUCGAGCUAGAGUCCGGAAGAGGCGAGUGGAAUUCCUGGUGUAGCGGUGAAAUGCGCAGAUAUCAGGAGGAACACCGGUGGUGUAGACGGCUCUCUGGACCGUAACUGACGCUGAGACACGAAAGCGUGGGUAGCAAACAGG
rnacentral:rRNA from 1 species